AUUAAAAUUUAACAAGACACUUAAUACGCGCUAUCAGUCGUGACGUCACCUCCCCACUCUUAUUACGGUAGGUCAGUUGCUCAAAGCUAAACAACCAGUCUUUUACAUGUGGUGUAAUACGUUUUUCGGUUUUUUGGUUGUGUUUGUGCGUUAAUAACGUGUCAAAUAGCUGCAGCGGGUGUAAUUUGUGCCACUAGAGACUUUAAUUUAAUUUAGAAGUGACUUUUUGUGAAAAUACGAACUUUAUAAAAGAAUACAGGGAACCACGUUGUCGGUGAGAAAAAAAGCACAUUGUUAAGUUUCACUUUAUUGCGAAAUUUUUUGGGGACGGUAAUCGCUUUUUAGUUCGGGGAGAAAAUGCUUUUACCAGCGGUCACGUCACCAAAUUUAGGUUUGAUGGCACAGUACAACCGAUGAGAAUUUCUGCAGAAGUUCUACCGAGCAUGAAAAAGCUAAAUUAUACUGUGGAGAUUUCAUAUGACCUAGAAGAAGGGGUUAAGACGGCACAUUGUACCUGCCCAAGGGGCAACGUGGCUUGCCAUCAUAUGGCUGCAGCAUUAUAUUAUGCUCAUUAUAAUGUAAGUGCUACUGACAUUGAGUGUCAGUGGAGUGCCCCAUCAAAAACAACACCACAAACAGAAGUCAUUAAGUUAGCUGAUGUUUACAAGCCGAAAUUAUCAAACUAUACGGCACUGUCUAGGUCCUCUACUGAGGACGAAAUUAUUCAGUUCCGUGCCGAAAUAGGCGUCACGAAUGUGGUGGGCUUCACUUGGCUCCUAAGACCAGAAGCAAGUGAAGAAGCCAGAAAAAUUAUUGCAGAUAUCGAAGAAAUUCUACAAAGCUUAGAAUACGUGCAGGCCAUAGACAAACAAAAGUUUCUUUUGGAGAAGUGCAGAAUAGAUGAGGCACGCAUUAAACUGGUUGAGGCGUGCACUCGGGGCCAACAUGUUAACGAAAAUUGGCAUGUAGCAAGGAAACAUCGUUUAACGGCCAGCAGGUUUGGCAUGGUACUAUCUGCUUGCAGUAGACGAAGAUUCCCACCCUCUUUAUUUAAAAAUUUGGCGGAAGGCUAUUCGCUUGACAGGGUUGCUGCUGUGCAGUGGGGUAAGACGCGCUAUCAGUGUGACGUAGACAUUUGAGGUAGGUCAGCACCUUAAAGCUAAACAAUCGCCAUUUUCAAUGCUUUUCUUAUGGGCAUUUAAAAGUUUUUCGUAUUUCUUUAAUGCUAGAAGUGUAGGAACAUUACUUUUACAGAGAAAUGAUAGCUAUGAAAAAUGCAAUGUCGUUUCUUAAAGAUUUUAGCAACUGAGCUAAUAUUUCUUUUUUCUUAAUUUGGACAUCAUAUUGAUGUAAAUUAUUAUGUGGCCUUUUAAAACUGAGGGAAAAAUGGUUUGCCACACUAAUGACAUUGGAUUUCUUCUGAAUGACGAAUUCAUGGGGUGCAACCGGCGCAACCCCAAUAAACGGGUUGUUUUCUGUCCCCCUCCCCCAUCACGAGGGAUGAAUAGCAGGUAUACGAGGGUAGAGGGUUCAGGCACAUACAUGGUUGAAAGUAGUACGGGUUGUGAGUUCUGUGCUUCUUUCGUGAGUGUCUUUUGUUAUCGUGUUUUUUCCGAUCGUUCUCCAUAUCUUCGUGUUCUUGAAUUUUUAAAAUUCUGUUUUUCCAAGACAUUAUCUCAUUUUUGUGGUACAUCAUUAGGUAUGAUUUGUGAAUAAUAUUUUGUUGCGAUACUUUGAUAGUUCAUGUGUAGUAGGUUUUUACAUCACAACUAUGGGAAUGUGUUGGGCUCCAGAUUGCAAACACUAUAGUACUCGCGAUAAAUGCCAUUUUUUUAGUUUUCCUAAGUCGGGAAAAGAACGAGCACUAUGGAAAAAAUUGUUGAGAAGAGAUGUAGAACCCGGACCAGGAGCCUACGUUUGCAGCUGCCAUUUUCGGGAUGGAAGAAAGGAAAAUGGUCCUGAAUUAUUUUUGCACAAUAUCGCAAAAAGAGCCUAUUUUCAAGUGGAAUCUCCAGAAAAAAAAAAGAUGAAAAAACAAGGACUCCCUUCUUGUUCUAGUUCCGCUGAAUCAUUAAGUGUUGAUAUACCGGAAGAAACAGUACCAUCGACAAUGAAUUUAGAGGAAGUGCCAUCGACGUCUACAGCCGUAGUUGCAGCACCAGCAGAUAUAAUUCAAGAUGCUCCGUUAGAAUCUAUGGGUGUGCAAGCACCCUUGGUGUCACAUGCGGCUCUUGAAGCAGAAAUGUAUUUUCUCAAAAAGGAAAAUGCUGAACUUAAAGCAAAAAUACAAUAUCUGACAGUACGAUUUUGCUAUGAAAAUGUUCAAGGAAAUGACAAACUCAUUGUUUUAUAUACCGGUCUUCCCAAUAGCCAGAUUUUCGAAGCAUUGUUUCACUUAAUCGAAAAGUUGGACAUAAAAUAUUACCACAAAUGGACAGUCCAAAAGUUAACUAGAAUUGACCAACUCUUUUUAACCCUAGUAAAAUUACGACUCAAUUUCCCUCAACUUGAUUUGGCGCAACGCUUUGGGGUUGCCCAAAGCACAGUUUCUAAUAUUAUUUUAACAUUUGUCCAUGUAAUAUAUGAAAUUUUAUAUAAACAGUUUAUGACGACAAUGCCUUCGCGCGAAAAAAAUAAAUCUUGCUUGCCAACAUGUUUUAGCAAUUUUACUAAUUGUAGAGCAGUUCUAGAUUGUACCGAAAUUUUCACUGUGGUAUCACGUAAGUCUAUGUCAACACAGAAAUUAACAUAUAGUACUUACAAACAUCAUAAUACUUUCAAAGGGCUAAUUGGAGUUGCACCCAAUGGUGUCAUCACAUUUGUAAGUGAUUUAUACGUGGGAUCAACUUCUGAUCAAAAAGUUGUUUUAAAUUGUGGAAUAAUCGACAUGUUAAAAACUGGAGAUAUGAUUUUAGCCGAUAAGGGAUUUUUGAUCCAAAAUAUUCUGCCACCAGGGGUCACUUUGAAUAUUCCACCUUUUUUAUCAAAUGUCCAAUUUACACCAGAGCAAGUUAAGUGUACCGAAAAUAUUGCACGUGCAAGAAUACACGUCGAAAGGGCAAUACGCCGAUUAAAAUGUUAUCAUAUUUUAAAUUUUUUGCCAGAGUCUUUGUGCCACUAUGGAGAUAUUGUUUUUAAAGCGACUGCCGCUUUAACAAACCUCCAAUUUCCAUUAAUUAAAGAGGUAGCAGAAUUGUUUCAGGAUUGUGAUGAUUAAAAUAAUGUAAAAUAAAAACCAUCUAUUUAUA